rnacentral:tRNA from 1 species
GGCGUGUUGGUCAAGUGGUCAAGACACAGCCCUUUCAAGGUUGAAUCAGGGGUUCAAUUCUCCUACACGCCACCA